AUCGAGACAAGGUUAGUCCUUAGGAGGCUUUUAUGUUUUUUGAUCAUGUCGUUUUCGCUGGUGUUGCCGUGGUAGCGCUCAUGUUCGUCUUCUUUGGCGGUGUCGGAUAUUUCAUCUGGAAGGACGCUCACGACCACAAAUAGGGUCUGGUUCUUCCGAUCAAGAGCACGCAAGGCAGUUUGGGCGACUUCAUUAAGUCGCCUAUUUUUUUG
rfam:Vibrio sp. J237 Contig_5, whole genome shotgun sequence.